GAGAAACCCUGGUCGGCCGCAGCGCAGCUGCUGCUCCGAGGCAGGUGAUGGUUUCGCUCUGCGAGAAGUUUUAAAAUGUUUCACUGCCAUCCAAAGACCACGUGAGGAUGAAAAUGCCCUUCCUUUUCUUAUGUAAUGUGAAAAAGAGAAACCUUUCUUUACCCUAAAAACACUUGGUGUACCUGGCAAAAAGCGGGUUCAAAUAAAAGUUCCAUAAAAGGCCCCAGAGAUAGAGCCCUGGGCCAGGUCGGAGCCCUGCCCUGGUCCUAGCUCAGCGGCCAAGGGAUCCUAGGAGUAUCAUCCUGUUUCCAUCAGCUGUGAGACUAGGGUGGGAACAAUUGCCCCUCAAUGAUCUAAGCCAGGAUUGUUAUGAAGAUCACCUGAGAUGAUAGGAAAGCCCUGCCCAGCCAGUCUUCAUGAGAAAGGAGCAAUGUCCAAACCCAGAGGCCCCCAAGGGGGCACCAUGAUCACAACGCUGCAAAACUGGAUUGAAAACCUGUCACAGCCAGACCACCUUCCCUCAGUUGGCCUUACAGGCUGGGGAGAAUUCACUGCAGCAGGUGACUGUCUCCUACACCCCUCAUCUUCAUCAUCCUCAACAGCCAAUCACUAAGGACACCAUCGGCCACACCCUGGGGCUGGGAUUGCCAUCACGGGGCUCCAUCUACUUGCAGAAGUAAGAUCUAAAGAAAUGACAAGUAAGCCACAGUCGCAUAUGCUGUCAAAAAACUCCAUUUCAUGAAACAUCAGGCUCUGAAGUGAAGAAAUGAGCAUGAUUCUCCUUGCAUGAAUACUCCCGAGGCAAGCGUUAAGAAGCUGCCCAGAUAACCCACGGUGAGGUGGCCCAGAGGAGGACACCAUACAAGCAAUCUGGUUGUUGACUUAAAACCUCAAGGAAAUCUCAAAAACCUUCAUAUACCUAACAAAAAUUUGGUCCAGAUCGACUUCUGUUGACAGCACUAAUCUGUUGUCCCAAACAGAAACCUCAGGUAGAUGGGCCUCAGCUGACAGAGACCGCCAUCAGGACAGGAGGAAGCUCUUCAGAAGAGAAAAAUCAGGAAAGCCCGCACUGGAAGGCUCCUCCGAGGCCCCCUCUGCCAGUCCUGUUCCGGCCUCCAUUUGGUCCAAGAGUGACUCUGCUGGUGUAGAGAUACUUCAUGCGGGACUGGAGCACACUAAGCAUCUCUUUCCUCCAAACAAAGAGGAAAAAGGGCGAAGCAAGACAAACCCUCUGAGCCGCCAUCCUGCAUCUCACCUAAUUUUGGGGCCUCGGUGUGAGGGGAGCACCAGGACCUUUCUUCGCUUCUUCCCAUCAGACAGCUCCACGUGCUCCACUUCAGCCUUGGUCUGGAACCC